GCAGGCUGCAACCCGCCUGUAUGAAGUCGGAAUCGCUAGUAAUCGCGGAUCAGCAUGCCGCGGUGAAUACGUUCCCGGGCCUUGUACACACCGCCCGUCACACCAUGAGAGUCGGGAACACCCGAAGUCCGUAGCCUAACCGCAAGGGGGGCGCGGCCGAAGGUGGGUUCGAUAAUUGGGGUGAAGUCGUAACAAGGUAAC
rnacentral:rRNA from 1 species